UACGGAGGGGGCUAGCGUUGUUCGGAAUUACUGGGCGUAAAGCGCACGUAGGCGGCUUUGCAAGUUAGAGGUGAAAGCCCAGGGCUUAACCCUGGAAUUGCCUUUAAAACUGCAUCGCUAGAAUUGUGGAGAGGUAAGUGGAAUUCCGAGUGUAGAGGUGAAAUUCGUAGAUAUUCGGAAGAACACCAGUGGCGAAGGCGGCCAACUGGACGAAUACUGACGCUGAGACACGAAAGCGUGGGGAGCAAACAGG
rnacentral:rRNA from 1 species